GCACAGUCUUAACGAUGGAUGUC
rnacentral:rRNA from 1 species